rnacentral:rRNA from 1 species
AGUGAACGCUGGCGGCGUGCUUAACACAUGCAAGUCGAACGAGAACGGAUUAUAGCUUGCUAUAAUUGUCAGCUAAGUGGCGCACGGGUGAGUAAUGUAUAGGUAAUAUGCCUCUUACUAAGGGAUAACAAAUGGAAACGUUUGCUAAUACCUUAUACUCCUUAUUAACCUAAGUUAAUAAGGGAAAGAUUUAUUGGUAAGAGAUUAGCCUGUAUUGUAUCAGUUAGUUGGUGGGGUAAUGGCUUACCAAGACUAUGAAACAUAACUGGUUUGAGAGGAUGAUCAGUCACACUGGAACUGAGACACGGUCCAGACUCCUACGGGAGGCAGCAGCGGGGAAUAUUGCACAAUGGACGAAAGUCUGAUGCAGCAACGCCGCGUGGAGGAUGACACAUUUCGGUGCGUAAACUCCUUUUAUAUGAGAAGAUAAUGACGGUAUUAUAUGAAUAAGCACCGGCUAACUCCGUGCCAGCAGCCGCAGUAA